UACGGGGGGGGUAAGCGUUGUUCGGAAUUACUGGGCGUAAAGGGCUCGUAGGCGGCCAACUAAGUCGGACGUGAAAUCCCUCAGCUUAACUGGGGAACUGCGUCCGAUACUGGAUGGCUUGGAUUUGGGAGAGGGAUGCGGAACUCCAGGUGUAGCGGUGAAAUGCGUAGAUAUCUGGAGGAACACCGGUGGCGAAGGCGGCAUCCUGGACCAAUAUUGACGCUGAGGAGCGAAAGCUAGGGGAGCAAACGGG
rnacentral:rRNA from 1 species